rnacentral:lncRNA from 1 species
AUAUUCUUUUCUUUUUCUUCUUCCUGCUGAAUCUCUUCAAAAAAAUUAAGAACACCAAGCACUUGUUUCCAUGUUUCAAUCAUAUGAACUUUGAUCUCCAAUUUCUUGAAGAUCUCCUUGAAGUACUUGAACUUCUUUUUCUUCCUAUGAUUUUUCUUUUUAUGAGGAAGGGGUUUUUCAUGUGAUCUUUUCUUCUUUCCCUUCUUCCUCUUUUUCUUUAUCUUGUCCUCCCUAAACUUUCUAUUCUUCUUUUCUCUUAUUUUUUCUUUUUUUCUUUUCUUUCAACCACUUCUUUUUCCUUGUCAUCAUUUUUAUCUCCCUCACUCAACCUUUCCGCUUCAUCUUCCUCUGUUUUCUCGUCUUCUAUCUUUUCCAUUUCUCUUUCCACCUUCUCCUCAUCAACAACCUCAUCAAUUUGUGUCUCCAAAUUCUUGAAGGUAACUUCAUAUCUCUUGGCAUCACACCUCUCUAGAAAUUUGUCGAACUUUUCAUUCAAGCUUUUGACUUGUUUCGUUACAUCAGCGGUUUGUUGAUAAAGUUGUUGAUCAUACUCCCAUGUUUCUAUUGGUAAAGAGCAUUGUUGCUGGCACUGAUAAUGUUCCCUUUCUUCCAUGCUUCUAGGAGAAGAAAAUCUUGUAUACAUGUCUUGUGGGAAGAAUUCAUCAUUCUUAAUAUCCUCCUCUGUGCCUUUGACAUGGUAUGGUUCAAAAUUCAUAAUCCUCUGAAAAAGUUCAUCAGAUUCUGCACUUCUUUGUAUAAGCAUGAAAUGAGGCUCAGCAGCUUGUCCAUAUCGACUUUGAUCCAUGUAUGAGUGAGGUUCCCACCAAUAAUUGAAAUUAUUUUGGUAGGAUUGAGUGCCCAUAUAAUCAAAUCCUUGUCCGUACUGCAUUCUGCAAACAUUAGGCACCAAACCCUAGAGAACAUUUAUUAGAACAAAACUAAAAACAAACAUGAAAAAUCAAGUCAAAUUCAAUCAAUUCACACUACUCGAAAAAGUUAAACCUCGAGUCCCCGACAACGGUGCCAAAAACAUGUUGACUCACUGGCAAGUGUACCAGAUCGUUCAAGUAAUAUAAUCGGUAAUACCUGAUAUCGUUCUUCCCAAGAGACUCUCGAAAGGCCUUAUCGUUCGUGCGAAUUGAGAUCGUAAGACUUGUAAAGAAAAAUUAAUUGUUUGGAAUGCAAAGAUAUAAAAUAAACAUGCAAUGUGUUUGAUUCAAUUGACGAAAAACACUAUGGAUAAAUGGAGUUGUUGGGGGUUGACAAUUUCAUCUUAUACGCUCCUUCUUAUCUACUCCUCUUGUUUAAUGUGGUUGAUUAUCUAUAUGUUAUGCAAACUUUCUUGGCCUACCCUUAACCCGAUCCCUCGGCGAAAAGAGCCUAUUACUAAUUACCGGCUUGCUAUCCCUAGCCUCCCCUAGCAACUAGCAACGCAUUACCGAACAGAAGCAAAAACAAUUUAUCGUCCUACCUCCCUAUCCCUAGGUGGUAUUUCAUCAAUCAAGGAAUUUCUCACCAGUUCAUGACAGUACUGUACGUUCCCGUAUCAAUAGAGACAAACAACAGUUAUCGAAUGAGUUAAACGAUAAAAACUUUAAGCACAGAUGCGAACCCAACAAUUGAAAAUCAAAGCAUAUGAAGAAUCAUAUAAAUAAACAAGAGUUUCAAUAAAAGAGAGUUUCAAAAGAUUACAUUGUUUCCCCCAACAANAAAAGGGUUUAGUUCACCAUUGUCAUGGUGAACUUAGAUGAAAAUAAUGGAAGAGCAAACCCUAAAUACGAUGAAAAGGAGCCUAAGCAUCCAAGAAAUCUUCUCCAAGGAGUGAAAAUUAGGUCUGGUCGUCCUCUUCUGUCAAAAGAAUGAGAAUGAAAUCGUAACAGGGCUAUUUAUAGCUGAGGAGCGUCACAAAAAACAGACCCAAGCCUAGCGGACAACCGCCCGACGACACACUUAUGCCGCCCGACGGUUUGCCCAUUAUCGCGCCACCCCCCGACGUCAGGGGUCCACCGCCCGACGGUUUGCCCCUAAUCGCAAAUCCGCCCAGCGUCCACGCCAAGUGCCUCCUCCUCGCAUUGGACCGCCCAACGGUGAAUUUUGCCGCCGGGCGGUUCCUAGACUAUUCUUUUCUUCAAUUUUCUUCUUUUGUCUUGAGUCUAAGACCUUCAUCUUCAACCCCAAUCUUCACUUUCAUCAAAAUCACUGUAAAAUAAUGCAAAACAAGCAUAAUAUCGCUAAAAACAACUUUUGACUCUCGACUGACUCAUUUAUUGGGUUUUACUUGAUUCUAAGCUCAUUCUAAGUCUUAAAGGGUGUAAUUUGGUCUAAAAUGACAUAUGAAAAAUAACUGUUUUUCAACCUUUAUCAAACACCCACCUUCCACAUAACGAUCCCAAAUCGUCGCUGAACCUCCAUCGCAAACCUCUUCGCCAAAGCGUCGUUGCCUUUGCUCUCAUCCAAACUCCAUGGACGCUGCACCUCCAUCAUCAAUCUUGCACAACCAUGGAAGCUUGCUCCUUCGCACAACCUACAAAUAGAAAACCCAGAAUCGCACCACCCAGAAAAACCCUAAAUUGGGCUACAACAAAAAAAUCCUUGCCAUCCUUACAGCCCACACCGUGCGACACAACAGAAGUAUUCUCCAAGGCAACUACCUCGAAAAAACACUCAACUUGGUCCAUGAGGGGCUUAGUAAGGUGGCAGACAAAGAUGUGGAGAUUGAACGGCAACGCGUGCCAGCUUCUCGGUACUGAUGUUGGCGACACAGAGGAUAGACAGACGACCAAGAUCGAGGUUGGGGUAUGCGAGAAAGAGGUAGUUGCUGAUUGCGAGACUGAUAAUGAAGACUCUGAUGAACUCAAGACACUCGUAUGAAACACCUUGGGUGAAGAUGAACGAGUGAGAGCUUCUUCUAGAAGCUUCCAGUAUUUGAAUAUGUUGCAUAAGAUUCUCUCUACCUUAGCCACUUAUGCCACAGAUUCAAAAACCGGUAAGUCCAGAUAUCGUUUCCCAAAGGACUCAGUGGCCUAGACGUUCAUGUGAAUUGAUCGCAUUAAACUUAAAAGAAAAAUAAAUUGUAAUGUUGAUGCAAAACGAAAUUUAAACAUGCAAAUGCAAAACUUGAUCAAUUGGAAAAUAAAGAUAUGAAUGAAUGAAGUUGUUGGGGUUUACAAUUUCAUCCUUAUCCACCCUCCUAUAUCUACUAUUCUUAUUAAAUUCGCUUUAUUAUCAAUGCUCAUGCAACUUUCUAAAUUACUCUAAACCCGAUCCCUCGAUGAAAAGAGCCUAUUACCAUAAUUACUAGUUUAUUAUCCUUAGUCUCCCUAGCAAUUACUAAUGCAUUAAUCACAGAAGCUUAAAGCAAUUAACCGUCCUACUUCUAUCCCUAGGUAGUAUUUCAUAAUCAAGAGCAUUCUUCACAGUUCUAGAUUUCCCCGUACGUCCUCGUAUCGACAAAAUCAAAGAUCAUGACACCGAAUGAGUUAAACGAUGCAAGCUUUUUUCCACAGAGAAGAAAAUCCAAACAAUUGAUAAUAAAAACAUAUGAAUAAAAUAAGAAAUUUGAUAUAAGAGAGUUUCAAAAGGAUUACAUUGUUCCGCAACAACAAUGGGUCUAGUUCACCAUGGACAUGGUGAAACUAGAUGGAAUUAAUGGAAAGAAUGAAACAAUAAACCCUAGAAUUGGUAAAUUGGAGCCUUAGCAUCCAAAAAGUCGCCUCCAAGGAGUGUAGAAGGUGCUCUAAUGUCUCUCUCUACCAAAAGAUGUCUCUCUGAUGCGUUCUGGGUCUAUUUAUAAUACAAGAAAGUAACAUAAUUUUGGCCCAAGCCCAUGAGUUAGGCGCUCAACAUCCAUUUCACCGCUCAGCGGUGGGCUUCGGUAUCGCAGGACGCUCGACGGUGGGCGAUUCUCCUUUUCUCCCCUCAGCGUCGAUGCUCAGCGGUGGGCUAUUCUGGAAGCUAAGCUCAACGCUGGAAAUGGCGCUGAGCAGUGGAUGUGACUCCUCAUUUUCAUCUUUUCUCGUCCUUUCUUGAGUCUAAGUCCUUCCUUCUUCACUUUCAUCAUUCAAUUCUCAUCAAAACCUAUCAAAAAGAUGUAAUAACAAGCAUAACAUCUCUAAAACCACUUUUGACUCUCUUGAAACCAAACUAAAGUGUUUUGCAUGAUUAUAAGCUCAUUCUAAGCCAUAAAGGGUGUGAUUUGAUAUCAAUUUCAAGUAUAAAAAUAACGGUUUUUAGACCAUUAUCAAAAGGUCGAGAUAGACUGACAUAUGUAGCCACUUUGGAAGUCAUAAUAUGGAUUUUCAUUUUUGAGAGAGGAAUCUCUUGGUUAUUGGUUUAGAACUCUGAUUCUUAUAAAGAUUAACAUCUUUGUGGCGAUUAUUCCUUUGUGGCGUCUCCAUUUCUGUCUUAUCAACCUUUAGUCCAAGCAAAUAGUCGAGACGGCCAGGCCAGGCUAGGUCACGAUAGAAAUUAGGCAGAAUUCAACCACGACCAAAGAAACAUGAUAUGUUAACAACUACAUAAGCAGUUAUAAAAAGUCAAAUUUAAAAAGUGGGUGACGACGAUAAAAAUUCAAACGAAAAGUUAGACCAAAAAUUUAGUCACAUUCAAAUAAAUUACUUUGAAAAAUUUAAUAGUUAUAAUAAGUUAUUAUUAUAAAUGAUUAUGAUAUAAAAUACUAUGAUUAACAUUAUUAGAAAAACAAAUUUGAACUCUCUCGUGCGUUAUUUCUAUGCUUUUUAAUAUUUAAACAAACGUGUGAUCAAUAUCCAGCCACGUUGUCACUAAUGUCACCACGUCAUAAUCAUUAAAAGCUCAUAUACAUUUCUUAAUUUAUAAUGAUUUGAAUCGAUUCUUUAUUAUUUAGAAUCGAUUAUAUUAACUUAGCAAAAUUGAAAGUGGAAUAAUAUAAAUAUAGAGGGGCACAUAAGAGUUUUUAACUUCGACCCCUCCAAAUUUCACCUCGGUAAUUGAAAAGUACACAAUUACUGGGGGGCGGGAUGUCAAUUUGUUAUUAAUCAAACGACAUAUAUUACUUUUUCUAAGAUUGAUGCUUGAACGUCGAAGGCUUCGACGUUCAUACGACAUGGUGGCAACUAAUUACCAUUAUUACACGAUGUACGUCAUUAGUUCAUCUAUAAAUAUAGCUUGCAUUUCACAUAAUGCCUUGCCUCCUGUUUCCAUAUUGAACAUAUAAGGAUUCAUGUUUUUUAUUUUCUUUGCGUUUUCUUUUUCUAAGAUUUUUAUGCAUUUAUAUUCUUCAUAUUCCAAUUUGAUAACUCAAACUUGAAAGUGGUUCAUUCAUUGUCAUUUCAUAUGAAGGAGCCUUUUCAAGUUCAAGUUAACAAAAUGUUUUUAUUUAUAUUACAGAAAUGGUUAACAUAUCUUACAGAAAGGGAAAUGCUUAGGAAAAAGAAAUAUGGUUCACAAUAUGUUUAAUGCUGAAACAAUUUUAGGAUCUAAAAUAAUUAUAUAAAAAAGUUGUUCAACUUCAUCAUUCUACAAUGUAUGAAUCAUUUUUAAAUUGUCUUGGGUUUGUCUUCUACCAUUAGAUUUAGAGUUAUUUGAUUUCUUAUGUAGUUGACGUCACAUAUUGAGUCCAUUUGAUGUCUUCUUCAACUAGAAGCCGAAGGUCUUGCAUUUUUUUAUUCUUCUUUUAUUUUUCUUUCAAUCAAACGUCGAAGCCUCUAGGGGCAUAUACGUUAAGGGCAUCGACGUGAAGGGCAUUGGAGUGGUUGGGAGCAUUAAUUGUGUUAGAGAUUGGGGUCUGAACUGUCUGAAUCUUGUUCCAUUAAGUCAUUUGGACUUUCAUCUUCUUCCAUCGCUCAAAUUUUUAUUAUUUUUUCGUUUUUCUUUUAAACAUUAACUUUAAUGCCCUAGUCUUAUUGUUCGCAGCGUAGUUUUUGUCAAUUAUGAGUAUCCAAAGAGAUUUUUUACAAUCAUUAUCAGUAUCCAAAGAGAUUUUUAACUUUUCACUGAAUGAUGUUUGAACGUCGAUCCAUCUUUUAUUAUUUUUUGUUUUUUCUUUUAAACUCUCACUUUAACGUCCUAGUCCCAAGGUUCUUUGACGUAGUUUUUGUCCAUUAUCAGUAUCCAAAGAUAUUUUUAACAAUUAUUAUCAAUAUCCAAAGAUAUUUUGAACUUUUUCACUGAAAGAUGUUUGAACGUCAAACCAUUUUUAUUAUUAUUUUUAUUUAUUUUAAACUCUCACUUUAAUGUCGUAGCGUCAAGAUAUGCAACGUAGUUUUCGACAGAAGUAGUUAUUAUCAGUAUCCAAAGAGAUUUUAUCAGUAUCCAAAGAGAUUUUUGAGAUUUUUUACUUUAAUACAGAAUGAUGUUUGAACGUCAUAUGGAUGAGAAUUGACGUUCAUUCAAGUUACUGACCAAAAUUACACGAUCUAAUGUUCGUCAUCGAUUCAUAUAUAAAUAUAGAUUGCAUUUCACUUAAUGCCUUGCUUCCUGUUUCCGUAUUGUCAUUGUCCUUCUCUUAGAUUUCGUAUCAUAUUUGUUCUUUAAAUUGCAAUUUGCUGACUUGAAUUUCAAAGUGCCGCAUUCAGGCCUCAGUUCAUAUGAAGGUGACCUUUGAAAUUGAAGUCAAGAAAAUGCUUUUUAUAGUACAGAAAUGGUUAAGUUAUCUUACUGGAAGGGAAAUGGCGAGGAAACAUAAAUAUGGUUCACAAUAUGUUUAAUUCUGAAACAAUUUUGAAAACUAAAAUAUUUAGACGACCCUGUUUCAUCUAUAAAUAUAGAUGUGCUUUUCUUGUAGCGCAAUCCGUCCUGUUUUUGUAUUGAACAUAUUAGGAUUCAUAUUUUUUUAUCUCCUAGUCAUUGUACUUCUUUUUUAUUUCUUAACAUAUCUGUUCUUUAAAUUGCAAUUUGCUCACUUGAAUUUUAAAGUGCCGCAUUCAGGCUUCACAUUAUAUGAAGGUGGCCUUUGAAAUCGAAGUCAACAAAAGGCUUUUUGUAGUACAGAAAUGGUUAAGUUAUCUUACUGGAAGUGAAAUGGCGAGGAAAAAGAAAUAUGGUUCACAAUAUGUUUAAUGUUGAAAUAAUUUUGAGAACUAAAAUAUAUUUAUGAAAAACUUGUUUAAUUUCAUCAUUUGGAAAUGUAUGAUUCUUCUUUUAAAUUGUCUUGGCUUUGUUUUCUACCCUUAGAUUUCAGAGUUAUCUGAUUUCUUAUCUAGGAAACAACUUCAAGAGAAUUUAAAUUUUGAAUCUAUUUACACAUUUGACGUUGAAUAUUGAGAUCAUCGAUGCAAAAGAAACCAUUUUGAAAGACCAGUCAUUCUUGAAAAGAAACACUUCACUUUUGAAUAAUUCCAUAUCAAAAGAACUUGUGCGGGACCACCUCAAAGAGUUUUCUAUAUCAUCCAAAUUCGUAUCGUGCUUCAUCAUCCCAUAUUCAACCAUUUGGACUAGCAUUUCUUACAACCUGUGCAACCUUCUUUUCACGUCGUGAAGAUGAAGAAGCCAUUUGAGAACAGGAUUUAGAGAUUUACAGGAUGGAUAGGGUUUCAAUAUAAGUUCAUUAAUAGACUUAGUUUCAAUAUUAACAACCGUGCCAUUCUUUGAAUUUUUUUUAAAACAACUAAUAUUACAUCUAUAUAAAUUUAACUGACGUAAUAUUUGAAACGAAUAUUGAUAUCACAUGACGUGGAUCAAGCCACGUUGUCACUAAUGUCACCAGGUGAUAAUCAUUAAAAGCUCAUUUGCACUUCUUAAUUAAUAACACUUUGAAUCGAUUCUUUGUUAUUUAGAAUCGAUUAUAUUAUCUUAGCAAAAUUGAAAGUGGAAUUAUAUAAAUAUAGAGGGACACAUCAAACUUUUUAACUUCGAUACAUCCAAAUCUCACCUCGAUAGUUGAAAAGUAGACAAUCUUUGGGGGCAGGAUGUUCAAACGAGAAUUAUUACUUUUUCUCUAAUUGAUGUUUAAACGUCGAAUUCGGCAGGGCUUCAACGUUCAAAAAGAUUGUUACAGUCAGUUACUAAGCAUUAUUACACGACGUACGUCAUCGGUUCAUCUAUAAAUAUAACUUGCAUUUCACAUAAUCCCUUUUGCCUCCUGUUUCCAUAUUAGGAUUAAUGUUUUUUAUUUCACAAUAUGUUUAAUGCUGAAACAAUUUUGAGAACUAAAAUAAUUACUUAAAAAAAGUUGUUCAACUUCAUUAUUUAACAAGGUAAGAUAACGAUGCCAAUGCCUUGAGUGACGUCUUUUUUUUGGGAUCAUCGACGUCCUAUAUCUUGGAGGAUUUCAAAAUGAAAUUCCCUUUUACAAAACACAACAUCUAAAAUGAAGACCAAAAAUGAUGGAAUACAUUACAACGAAAAACAGGAAGUAAAUAAAAAAGGAAAAAAAGCAAAACAAUGGAGAAUGUUUUUGAAAUUCAUAAGUGUUAACAUUUUCCUCUGUUAUUCCACCAUGGCUUCAUGGAUAACAAAGAAAUGUCUUCGUUUAGUGAAGGAAUGAUGGGACAACAAAGGAAAAAAGUUAACAUGAAUUUGGUUAGGGAAGGUACGUAGGUUAGGUUUUCAAAUGGUACAACUUCAAAAGAAAUCAAAAUCAAUUAACUUAUUUCUUCGGAUACUUUUGUUAUAUUUCACUUAAUGCCUUGCUUCCUGUUUCCAUAUUGAACAUUUUAGGAUUCAUGUUUUUUUAUCUCUUUGUCAUUGUCCUUAUCUUAGAUUUCGUAACAUAUUUGUUCUUUAAAUUGCAAUUUGCUCACUUCAAUUUAAAAGUGCCGCAUUCAGGCCUCAGAUCAUAUGAAGGUGGCCUUUGAAAUUGUAGUCAACAAAAUGCUUUUUGUAGUACAAAAAUGGUUAAGUUAUCUUACAGGAAGGGAAAUGGCGAGGAAAAAGAAAUAUGGUUCACAAUAUGUUUAAUGCUGAAACAAUUUUGAGAACUAAAAUAAUUAGAUGACACCGUCUCAUCUCUAAAUAUAGAUGUGCUUUUCUUGUAAUGCCAUCCGUCCUGUUUCGCUAUUGAACAUAUUAGGAUUCAUGUUUUUUUAUCUCCAAAGUGCUUUUCUUUCCUUAGAUUUCGAAACAUCUCUGUUCUUCAAAUUGCAAUUUGCUGACUUGAAUUUCAUAGUUCCUUAUUCAAGCCUUAGUUCAUAUGAAGGUGUCCUUUGAAAUUCAAGUCAACAAAAUGCUUUUUAUAUCACAAUAAUGGUUUAAUUAUCUUACUGAAAGGGAAGUGCUUAGGAAAUGUAUGAUUCUUUUUUUAAAUUGUCUUGGAUUUGUUUUCUACUGUUAGAUUUCAGAGCUAUAUGAUUUCUUAUGGGUAAAGAACUUCAAGAAAAUUUAAAUUUCGAAUCUAUUUAUACAGAUGACGUCGAAUAUUGAGAUAUUGGAUGCAAAAGAUACCAUUUUGCAAAACCAGCCAUUCUCGAAAAGAAACUCUUCACUUCUGAAUAAUUCCAGAUCCAAGAAUUUGUGAGAGACCACGUCCAAUAUUGAUACCACUGACGUGGAUGGAAUGAAUUUAAUAGCUAAUAAUAAAUAAUUACUCUAAAUGAUUAAGCUUUAAAAAUACUAUGAUUAACCUUAUGAGAAAAACAAACUUGACUUUCUCAUGCAUUAUUUCUUUGUUUUUUAGUAUUUUAACAAACAUGUGAUGAAUAUCAAGCAACAUUGUAAUUAAUAUCACCAUAAAUAAUCAUUAAAAGAUCAUUUGCAUUUCUUAAUUUAUAAUGCUUUGAAUCGAUUCUUUAUUACAUAGAAUCGAUUAUAUUAACGUAGCAAAAUUGAAAGUGAAAUUAUAUGUAUAUAGAGGGGGUACAUCAAACUUUUUAACUUCGAUCCAUCCUAAUCUCACCUUGUUCACAGGUGACUGAAAAGUAAACAAUUUCUUUAGGAUGGAAAGUCAAUUUGUUCUUAUAUGAAUCAAACGAGAAUUAUUACUUUUUCUCUUAUUGAUGUUUGAACGUUGAAUUCCUCCAGGCUUCGACGUUCAAAAAGAUGGUGGCUAUCAUUACACGAUGUACGUCAUCGGUUGAUCUAUAAAUAUAGCUUGCAUUUUACGUAAUCCCUUGCCUCCCUAUUGAACAUAUUAGGAAUAAUAAUAAUAUUUCUUUUGCAUUUUCUUCUCCUAAGAUUUCGAAGCAUUUAAUGCUGAAACAAUUUGAAAUUCAUAAGUGUUAACAUAUCUGGUUUUUUCCCCAUGCCUUCAUGGAUAACAGCUCAACUCUAUAACAAAUUAAUAUUACGUCAAUCUGUUCAGAUCUUUGACGUGUCUUCAACCAGAAGCCAAAUGUCGUACCCUUUUGAUAUUAUUUCUAUUUUUAAUCAUCAAAUAUAACGUCGAACUGUUUGAAACAACUUCAAUACAAAUUAUUUUUAUACAGUUAACUUCGCGUAUUGAGUGAUUUGAAUAUUGAUACUGAUUGUGAUUUUUGUACGAAGACAAAGCAUAUGUUGUAUUCUACCGUUAUUCAAUGUUUUCUUCUUUCCUUUUUCCUUUAUAAAAUCUCUCAUAAUCUUCCGUUAUCAUUAUAUUUUAAGAUAAGAUUUACAUUUUUUUUUUAUUUUUAUAUUAUUAAUUUAUGUAAAUUUAUCUUGUAAUAUUUACAUAUUAUUAAAUAUAAGAAAGAUAUGUCGGUGAAAUUUAAAGAGAGUAAAACUUUAUUUCUUUAAAAUAUUAGUUUAAUUUCAUAUGGAAAAUAAUAAUAACAAUUAUUAUGAGAAUUUAGUUGUAGUUAUACAUCAUAAUAAUUAAAAUCAUAUUGAAUAUUACUAUAUUAUUACAAGUUAUUUGAAAUGAAUGUUAUUUAACAUUCGAACUAACUUUUUUUCAUAUAAAAAAGUUAACAUAAUGUCCAUAGUAAAUCAUUUUUUUUAUUAGAUUCAACAACAACAUUUCCAACCUUAUAUUUCUUUCCUCUCUACUUUUAAAACUUUUAUGAUUAAGAUAGAUAUGAUAAAACAUAAAUCUAGUCUUCGAUGUCUCUUUCUUGGUAGGUGUGUUAAUUUUAGGAUAAAGAUAUGUAUGAUUGUACUAAAAGACUUUAAUUGAAUUUUAUGAUAAGGAUAGGUAUGACUAUACUGAAAGAACUUAAUUGAUUUUUAAAAAUAAUACUUUAAAUUUCAAGAACGAUUAAGUUGAGUGAAAACUAAAGGUUAAGAUAGAUUAUUGUUGGAAAAAAUUGAGAUAGAUUAGUUAAUAGAUAAUAUUGAUACAAGUUAACAAUUAAGAUGCAUCAAACAAAGCUAAAGAUCGAGAAGAGACAUAUCAUAUCAAGAAUAGUCAAUUUGUAUCAAAGUACAAGACUUGUCAGGAAUUAAAAGUCAAGACAGAUCGAUUUGGGCCAAAAAUUAAGACAGAAUGGGUUGGGUUGAAGAGUAAGGCAGGUUAAGUUUGACUAACGGUCAAGACUGGUUAACCCUAAAUACAUUUGUAGCCACUUUGGAAGUCAUAAUAUGCAUUUACAUUUUUGAGAGAGGAAUUUGGUUAUUGGUUUAGAACUCUGAUUCUUAUAAAGAUUAACAUCUUUGUGGUGAUUCUACCUUUACUUAUCAAUCUGCUAGAUUGUGACGUCUCCAUCUCUAUCUUAUCAACCUCCACUCCAAGCAAAUAGUCGAGACGACCAGGCUAGGUAACGAUAGAAAUUAGGCAGAAUUCAACCACAACCAAAAUUUUGUUAAGGACCAUGAUAUGUUAACAACUACAUAAGCGGUUAUAAAAAGUAAAAUUUAAAAAGGGACGAUGAUAAAAAUUCAAUCGAACUCUUAGACAAAAAAAUUGGUCACAUUCAAAUAAUUUACUUUGAAAAAGUUAAUAGAUAUAAUAAAUUCAUUAUAUAAAUGAUUAUGACAUCAAUAAAAUACUAUGAUUAACAUUAUUAGAAAACAAAAUUGAACUCUCUUGUGCAUUAUUUCUAUGCUUUUUAAUAUUUUAACAAACGUUUGAUCAAUAUCCAAUCACGUUGUCACUAAUGUCAUCAGGUCAUAAUCAUUAAAAGUACAUUUGCACUUCUUUAUUUAUAACGCUUUAAAUCGAUUCUUUAUUAUUUAGAAUCGAUUAUAUUAUCUUAACAAAAUUGAAAGUGGAAUUAUAUAAAUAUAGAGAGGCACAUCAAACUUUUUAACUUCGAUCCAUCCAAACCUCACCUCGAUAAUUGAAAAGUACACAAUUUCUGAGCGACAAGAUGAUCAAACGAGAAUUGUUACUUAUUCGGCCGGGCUUCGAUGUUAAAAAGAGAUGGUUGCAGUCAAUUACUAAGCAUUAUUACACAACGUACGUCAUCGGUUCAUCUAUAAAUAUAACUUGCACUUCACAUAAUCCCUCUUGUCUCCUGUUUCAAUAUUAGGAUUCAUGUUUUUUAUUUCACAAUAUGUUUAAUGUUGAAAAAAUUUGGAGAACUAAAAUAAUUAUAUAAAAAAAAGUUCUUCAACUUUAUCGUUUAACAUGAAUUUGGUUAGGGAAGGUAUGUAGGGUAGGUUUUCAAAUUGUACAACUUCAAAUGAAAUCAAAAUUUGUUUAACUUAUUUCUUCGGUUACUUCCUUUAUAUUUCAUUUUUCUCUCAUUCAAACGUCGAAGCCUCUAGGGGAAUAGACAUUACGGGCAUCGACGUGAAGGGCAUUGAAGUGGUUGGCUGCGAUUUGACAAGAGCACCAAUUACGACAAAUUCGCUAGGGCUGUAACGUUUUAAUCUUCAUCCAGCUCAUUUUGAUUAUUUUUUUCUUUUUUAUUUUAAACUCUCACUUUAAAGUCCAAGACUCAGAUCUUCGACGUAUUUUUCAUCAGAAACAGUUAUUAUCAGUAUCCAAAGAGAUUUUUCACUUUUUCACUGAAUGAUGUUUGAACGUCGAAGUCUACAAGAAUUCGACGUUCAUUCAAGUGAGCAUAAUUACACAAUAUAAUGUUCUUCAUCGGUUCAUAUAUAAAUAUAGCUUGCAUUUCACAUAAUGCCUUGCUUCCUGUUUCCAUAUUGAACAUAUUAAGAUUCAUGUUUUUUUAUCUCCUUGUCAUUGUCUUUCUCUUAGAUUUCGUGACAUGUCUGUUCUUUAAAUUGCAAUUUGCUGACUUCAAUUUUAAAGUGUCGCAUUUAGGCCUCAAUUCAUAUGAAGGUGACUUUAAAAUUGAAGUCAACAAAAUGCUUUUUGUAAUACAUAAAUGGUUAAAUUAUCUUACGGGAAGUUAAACGGAGAGGAAAAAGAAAUAUGUUUAUCUGUCUUUUAUUUGUUCAUACAUGGUUUAAAUGUUCAACUGUAAUCAUAAUAUAUACAUCAAACAGUUAAUGUUACAAAAGAUAAUAUUAAGUACUAGCCAGAAAAAAUUAAAAUCUCUAUUUUGAGAAAUAUAUAUAUAUAUAUAUAUAUUCUUAAAUUUCAUUUUGACGUGAUACAUAUGAAAAAAAAAAGUGCAUCGAAUUAUAUUACAUUUAAUAACUGGAGUUGGUAAAAUAAAGGAUUCAACUCAUGUAAAUUAGUCUAUUAUGUAUAAAGUCAAAGAUGUCAAAAAAAAAGUCCGAUUUGCAAACUUAAUAAAUAAAACGAAAUAUUAUGAAUUGAAAAAUAAAUUAUAUGCAUAAAAUCAAUUUUAAUUUUUAAAUAUAGUAAUAUAUAUAUAUAUAUAUAUAUAUAUAUAUAUAUAUAUAUAUAAAUUCUAAAAUGUGUUUUUAACACUAUCUAAUAACAAAGUAACUUUAGANNNNNNNNNNNNNNNNNNNNNNNNNNNNNNNNNNNNAUAUAUAUAUAUAUAUAUAUAUAUAUAUAUAUAUAUAUAUAUAAAGAUAUUUGUGUGUGUAUUUCAAUAAAAAUAUUUUUUAAACAUUUUUUAAAGUUUUACAUGUACACCCACUCAUCCCAUUAGCCAUUAAUUCAAUUUUAAAAAUAUUUAAAUUUCUUUAAGUAAUAAAAAAUAAUACAAUAUAUGAAAUAGCUAAAGAUUUUCCCCACGCUAGAAGUAGGUUGGGUUCGCCCACGUUGGGCUCGCCCACUGUAUCACUCAUCAUUUCCCAUCAAACAUCAUGGUUACCGUUGCGAACCGGAGGCUUUUGUCUAAUCUUACUUUUAAAUUUAUUAUAAAUCCCACAUUGACUUUAAAUAAUAUUAAAGUGUGAGUAAUGAAAAAAUAAUCAAAUCCAUGACAGCUUCAGGUUCAGAUUCAUGAACCAACCCCUUUUCUUCAAUUUAAAAAUAAUACUUUAAUACGGAGGAUAUCUACAUACGUAAUGAUCACACAUGCAACAUUUUUUAUAUUGUAAUCGAUUUGGUAUUAUUCCUUAUUUAUCUGUUCUAUUAAGAUAGUCUAAUCCAAUAUUAUAUCAUAAAUUAGUUUUAUUUUUUAAUAUGAGAUCUUUAAUAUAGUUGUAUACACUUAAAACAUUUUGUAUCCUAGCUGAUGACUUCCAACAUGAGAAUUGGAAGACAAAUUUUUCUAACCGAGUUGGCUUAAUAAAUAAUUUACAUUAAGAUUUAGUUUUUUAACAAGUUAAAAAGAGUUAUUUUAAUCGAGAUUCAAAUAUAUAGUAUAAUCUAUCAUGGGUUCUUUCUUGAUUUUCGAUGUUUUAGCGUGAAUACAUAACAUUUUUGGCAUGACAUAAUAAGUUGAAUAUCUCAGAUCACUAGUGUAAAAAUGCUGAUUAACGUCGAUUAUUUUGGGCUUUUAAUGUCUACAAAAGAAUCGACGUCAUUUUCGGUGACAUCAAUGGGACGUCGGACAUGAAUAUAACCGACGUCUAGGACUAACUAGACGUCGGGUGUAGGACUAACUGGACAUCGGGUGUAGGACUAACUGGACGUCGGGAGUAGGACUAACUGGACGUCUAAAGUCAUUAUAUAGACGUCAGUCUGAGCAAUAACCAACGUCUAAAAGGUACUAUAGACGUCGGUAUAUACAUUAACCGACGUCUAAUCCAGUGAUUGUGUUUUAGUGCAGUUUUGUUCCCAUCUUUGGAUAGCUUAGUAGCACAAUCUCCUUUUGCUAGUUUCCCCCAAAAAUAAGCUUGCGCCUUUUGAAUUUCUUAUGGAUCUUUUCAACCCAAAACCAAACUUGGGUUGUUGCUUAGUUCCAUUUUCAUCCGCAAGAGGAAAAAAUCACGGUGAAACGAUAACUAGGCAACGACCCAGGGUCGUUUUUGGGUUGAAAUGAUCAAAAGAAAUUCACUAGACGCCGCUUUUUCUGGGAGGCAGCUAGCAAAUGGAGAAUGUGUUACUACGUUACCCCAAGAAAGGAACAAAANUGCACUAAAACACAACACAAAGAAAGCAAAUUUUAAUCAGUUGAACCAGAAGAUAAUCGAUGAAAGACUAAACAAAGUUUAAACGGUAAGCAUAAAAAAAACCACGCACCUGGGAUGCCGCAAGAGAGAAAAAUGAGAGGAGACAGACGAUAAAGAUAUCAAAAACAACAAUGCAAUGUCGCAAGAGAGAAAAAGAAGAGGUGUCGCAAGCGAGAAAAAAAAGAGGUGUCACAAGAGAAAGAGGAGAAGAGGAAGACGAUAUCAUAAACUGAAUGUCGUGAAGAGUUUGCGGUUUAUUUAAAAUGAAAUUGGGCGUCGGUUGCUCUAGAAAAUGACGUCUAUAGUCACCUAGACGUCGGUUAUCUCACUAAUAUGACAUCCAAGUUAACAUUUAAACUGACUUUUUGAAUACCCAUUAGACAUCAGUUUCGAGGGGAGCCGAUGUCUAGGAAGCUGAACCGAUUGACGUUUGAUUUCCUGUCAGGGAUGUUCAUGACAGUUGUGAUGGGGCGCCGACGUCUAUAAUAACGUAGACGUCGGUGCCCCUCUAGCCGACGUCUAGGGCCCUCGAGUUUGGUGAACAUAAUUAAUUACAAGCACAUAGACGUCGCUUCCCCUCAACACCGACGUCUAAAUUGAAGAAUUUUUUAUCUUCCCGCCUUCCAGACAGGCCUUAGACGUCGCCCUUUGACUACGUGACGUCUAAGCGUCUGAGAAUUAGGUAAAGAACAUUAAUUGCAGCCCAGUAGACGUCGACCCC